GGGGUUGUGGCUCAGUGGUAGAGUGCUUACCUAGCAUGUGUGAGGCACUGGGUUCAAUUCUCAGCACCA
rnacentral:tRNA from 1 species